CUGCGUGGUGAAAAUUCUAGCGCAUGGCCAGUGGCGGAGGAAACUCCUGGUGUGAGAAGCGGCUGCACACGACCGUGGGGACGCUUGUGCUUCAUCCAUGGGGGCAGAGUGUACACGAGUGUGAAGUGUAGUUUCACGCGACAGGCCUUUAAGAUAUAAUUGUCAUAUAUAUAGAAAAAGAAAUGUUCCCACCUAGUUAUGUGUGUAACAAACAAAUACUGCGCAUUGUAAGUCAACAAAAGUUAUA
rnacentral:lncRNA from 1 species